rnacentral:lncRNA from 1 species
GAUGAAAUAGUGCAGGAGCUCUGCUUUGAUGUGAAAAUUAAGUGCAUUGGUCAUAUUUUGGUCAUCCUCCCCCACUUCUAAAAUGGGUGUGUGGAGGUUAACUGGAUGCAGUAAUUUCAAAUGAAGGAUUAUGAUUUUUUUAAAAAAGUAUAAGGGAUCCUUCAAUGUACAAACCAUUGCAUUUUUGAGUUUUGCAUCUUUCCUUCCCCCUUAAACACGAGUGCAGGGCUUUGAGAGGGCUGUUAUAAUCAAAAUGGUUUCUAGAGUAAUAGCCCUGUUAAUCUUGUGAAGUAAAACCAACAGUUUUUAAGGCACCUUCAAGAUUUAACACAUUUUAUUAUGGAACAAGCUUUGAAUAAUAUCCACCAAAGCUUAUGCUAUCAUUUAAAAAAUGUCUACCUUUAAAAGGUCACAAGACGCUUGGUUGCUUAGACUGGAGGUGAGCUGAAAUAAGCUAACUGUACUUCAAGUUGAUCAUACUCAAAAUAAACUGUUGUAGAAGCUUUAUGUUUUUACCUGGAAUGUGGAAUGAAGCCCUGAGUGUGUAUGGCUGCUUUCCUUCAGAAUUCUCUGUAUCCAAGUCUGAUGGAUACAGUGGUUUAGGUCUCUGGCUACGGAGCCAGAGGUUGAGCGUUCAAUAUCCCACUGUGACUCCUUGACAGGAUCUGGACUUGAUGAGCCAUAGGGUCCUUUCCAGCUCUGCAGUUUCUGAUGGAUACAGUGGUUUAGGUCUCUGGCUACGGAGCCAGAGGUUGAGCGUUCGAUAUCCCACUGUGCCUCCUUGACAGGAUCUGGACUUGAUGAGCCAUAGGGUCCUUUCCAGCUCUGCAGUUCUCAGAUGAUGAUGAUGGUUCAACCAGUAUGGCCAAUAGUCAGGGACGCUGUGAUCUGAAGCCCCCACCACCUGAAGGGCCAAAGGUUGAGAACUACAGUAUAUUGGAUCCAAUUGCAUCCAGCAUCUUGGGAACUUGUCGUUCAGAAUAUGUGGAGGGAAGCAGAUAUCGGGGAAAGCUGCCCCAGAUCAUGGGUGCAGUGAUUCUGUUCUGAUGCUAAUAUUCAUGGUCUGUUUCCCUGUGCCUUCAGUGUUCCUGCUGUGAGGCAUGUCUGUUUGCUGCCCUGUUGUUUGGAGAUAAAGCAGGCAGUUCCUGUGAGUUGGCUCAGGGAAAUUUUCUACAGACAUGGAGGUGUGUGUGUGUGUGUUUAGUCGUUUAGUCGUGUCCGACUCUUCGUGACCCAAUGGACCAGAGCACGCCAGGCCCUCCUGUCUUCUACUGCCU